rnacentral:tRNA from 1 species
GGCAGAGCUCAGUGGUAGAGGGAGUGCUUAGCAUGCAUGAGGUCCUGGGUUCAAUCCCCAGUGCC